ACGCUCGACACCUACGGGGGCAGCAGUGGGGAAUAUUGCACAAUGGGGGAAACCCUGAUGCAGCAACGCCGCGUGAAGGAAGACGGUUUCGGAUUGUAAACUUCUGUUCUUAGUGAAGAUAGUGACGGUAGCUAAGGAGCAAGCCACGGCUAACUACGUGCCAGCAGCCGCGGUAAUCUGAGCGGGCUGGCAAGGC
rnacentral:rRNA from 1 species